AUCAAUGAUCACAGGCCUCUUGUUCCAUGUCUUUUUACAUUUUGGUCGAGUCAUGCUUUGUAACUGCAUCCAAGUUUGUUGGAUCUCUCUCAAAGGCUAGGGAAAGAGUGAAAAGGAUAUUGUAGAUAUGUGGCCGGAAUCCAGAUUUUGACGCAAGUAUUUUGACUCAAUAUUUUUGUCUGUAUCUUGGGGAUUGAUAGUGAAGAUAAACAUAUGAAUGUAAUAAUUUUAGAAUGUUUAAUGUGUUUCUUUCUAAAUCGACCCAUUUUAUGACUUGUUGUAACUCUUAUGUGGGUGACUUCAAUUGUAUUGGACUCUAUAGGAUGCAAAACGUGGUACAACAACUGGUGUUUCUGCUCGCGAUAGAGCUGUGACAGUCUUGGCUCUUGCAUCAAGGAAUUCAAAACCUGAAGAUUUCAACCGCCCAGGACAUAUCUUUCCCCUUAAGUACAGGGAGGGAGGAGUUCUAAAAAGAGCUGGUCACACUGAAGCUUCAGUUGAUCUUGCUAUGUUGGCUGGGCAAGAUCCGGUAGCAGUUUUAUGUGAAAUUGUGGAUGAUGACGGUUCUAUGGCUAGAUUACCAAAGCUUCGUCAAUUUGCACAGGCAGAAAACUUGAAAAUUAUUUCCAUUGCUGAUUUGAUCAGAUAUAGGAGGAAAAGGGACAAGUUGGUGGAGCGGGCUGGAGUUGCACGGAUACCCACAAUGUGGGGGCCAUUUGA